rnacentral:rRNA from 1 species
CCUACGGGUGGCAGCAGUGAGGAAUAUUGGGCAAUGGGCGCAAGCCUGACCCAGCAACGCCGCGUGAAGGAAGAAGGCUUUCGGGUUGUAAACUUCUUUUCUCAGGGACGAAGCAAGUGACGGUACCUGAGGAAUAAGCCACGGCUAACUACGUGCCAGCAGCCGCGGUAAUACGUAGGUGGCAAGCGUUAUCCGGAUUUACUGGGUGUAAAGGGCGUGUAGGCGGGAAAGCAAGUCAGAUGUGAAAACCAUGGGCUCAACCUGUGGCCUGCAUUUGAAACUGUUUUGCUUGAGUACUGGGGAGGCAGACGGAAUUCCUAGUGUAGCGGUGAAAUGCGUAGAUAUUAGGAGGAACACCAGUGGCGAAGGCGGUCUGCUGGACAGCAACUGACGCUGAGGCGCGAAAGCGUGGGGAGCGAACAGGAUUAGAUACCCUUGUAGUC